rnacentral:rRNA from 1 species
GAUUUCUGGUUAAGUAACGCUAGCCCGCCCUUGCCAGGGGUGUGCGCUGGUUAGUUGCUUGCCAUCUUUCUAGAAAGCCAGCGUUUGUCAUUCACUUGGCGGACGUGACGCGAUCUAGAUCUUUUACUUUGAAAAAAUUAGAGUGUUUAAAGCAGGCUUACGCUAUGAAUACAUUAGCAUGGAAUAAAAAUAUAGGACUUUGGUUCUAUGAAGUAAUGAUUGAUAGGGAUAGUUGGGGGUGCUAGUAUUCAGUGGCCAGAGGUGAAAUUCUUGGAUUCACUGAAGACUAACUACUGCGAAAGCAUU